CUCUCCUGCCCCUGCCAAGGAGCGGCCGAGGAUGGAGUGUGCCAGGCUGAGCUGCCACUCGGGGUGCCCAGGCUGGCCCACUCUGUUCCUGGACUCCCCAGCUCUGGGCUUCAGGAGCU
rnacentral:precursor_RNA from 15 species